GACGUAGGGCGCGAGCGUUGUCCGGAUUUAUUGGGCGUAAAGAGCUCGUAGGCGGCUUGUUGCGUCGACUGUGAAAUCCCUCGGCUCAACUGAGGAACUGCCUUUGAAACUGGACGCUUGAGGCCGGGAGAGGGUAGCGGAAUUCCCAGUGUAGCGGUGAAAUGCGUAGAUACUGGGAGGAACACCGGUGGCGAAGGCGGGUCUCUGGGCCGAUACUGACGCUGAGGAGCGAAAGCGUGGGGAGCGAACAGG
rnacentral:rRNA from 1 species